CAGUCGCCGCGGUAAUACGUAGGUCCCGAGCGUUGUCCGGAUUUAUUGGGCGUAAAGGGAGCGCAGGCGGUUUAGUAAGUCUGAAGUUAAAGGCAUUGGCUCAACCAAUGUAUGCUUUGGAAACUGUUAGACUUGAGUGCAGAAGGGGAGAGUGGAAUUCCAUGUGUAGCGGUGAAAUGCGUAGAUAUAUGGAGGAACACCGGUGGCGAAAGCGGCUCUCUGGCUUGUAACUGACGCUGAGGCUCGAAAGCGUGGGGAGCAAACAGGAUUAGAUACCCCAGUAGUCCCUGUCUCUUAUACA
rnacentral:rRNA from 1 species